rnacentral:rRNA from 1 species
GUGCCAGCAGCCGCGGUAAUACGGAGGAUGCAAGCGUUAUCCGGAUUCAUUGGGUUUAAAGGGUGCGUAGGCGGAUUGAUAAGUCAGUGGUGAAAUCCUACAGCUUAACUGUAGAACUGCCAUUGAUACUGUCAUGUCUUGAGUUUGGUUAAGGUAGGCGGAAUGUGUAAUGUAGCGGUGAAAUGCUUAGAUAUUACACAGAACACCAAUUGCGUAGGCAGCUUACUGGACCGACACUGACGCUGAGGCACGAAAGCGUGGGGAUCGAACAGGAUUAGAAACCCUGGUAGUCC